rnacentral:rRNA from 1 species
UCAGCGCCGAUGGUAGUCGGGGGCUUCCCCCUGCAAGAGUAGGACAUCGCUGGGC